rnacentral:rRNA from 1 species
CCUACGGGAGGCAGCAGUGGGGAAUCUUAGGCAAUGGGGGCAACCCUGAUCUAGCCAUGCCGCGUGAGUGAUGAAGGCCUUAGGGUCGUAAAGCUCUUUCGCCUGUGAUGAUAAUGACAGUAGCAGGUAAAGAAACCCCGGCUAACUCCGUGCCAGCAGCCGCGGUAAUACGGAGGGGGUUAGCGUUGUUCGGAAUUACUGGGCGUAAAGCGCGCGUAGGCGGAUUAGAAAGUUGGGGGUGAAAUCCCGGGGCUCAACCUCGGAACUGCCUCCAAAACUGCUAGUCUAGAGUUCGAGAGAGGUGAGUGGAAUUCCGAGUGUAGAGGUGAAAUUCGUAGAUAUUCGGAGGAACACCAGUGGCGAAGGCGGCUCACUGGCUCGAUACUGACGCUGAGGUGCGAAAGUGUGGGGAGCAAACAGGAUUAGAUACCCUGGUAG